UGAAAAAUAUUUAUCUGAGAA
rnacentral:piRNA from 1 species